rnacentral:rRNA from 1 species
AUUGAACGCUGGCGGCAUGCCUUACACACGCAAGUCGAACGGCAGCGCGGGUGCUUGCACCUGGCGGCGAGUGGCGAACGGGUGAGUAAUAUAUCGGAACGUGCCCUAGAGUGGGGAUGACGUAGCGAAAGUUACGCUAAUACCGCAUACGAUCUACGGAUGAAAGUGGGGGAUCGCAAGACCUCAUGCUCCUGGAGCGGCCGAUAUCUGAUUAGCUAGUUGGUGGGGUAAAGGCCCACCAAGGCGACGAUCAGUAGCUGGUCUGAGAGGACGACCAGCCACACUGGGACUGAGACACGGCCCAGACUCCUACGGGAGGCAGCAGUGGGGAAUUUUGGACAAUGGGGGCAACCCUGAUCCAGCAAUGCCGCGUGAGUGAAGAAGGCCUUCGGGUUGUAAAGCUCUUUUGUCAGGGAAGAAACGGUCUGGGUUAAUACCCUGGGGUCAUGACGGUACCGUAAGAAUAAGCACCGGCUAACUACGUGCCAGCCGCCGCCGUAACAC